rnacentral:tRNA from 1 species
GGAAGGAUGGCAGAGUGGUCGAUUGCGACGGUCUUGAAAACCGUUGACUGUAACAGGUCCGGGGGUUCGAAUCCCUCUCCUUCCG